UAUUGGAUUUUUAUUUUUUUUUAACUUACUAGUUUAGAGCUGGGCUUCGGUGGCAUUUUUACCAGUAUCACCACUUUAGAUUUUCCAGGUGCAUCCACUGGCUACACCAAAGGACCUACUGAAUUCUCCAUCCCCUCAGCAAUAAUGUAACCAGGAACUCAGAUGAGGAUGAUUCCCCUGGUCUGCUUCAGGAGGAUUCCUCAUCUUCAUUUAAGGAGACGUUGACCACAUGCAAAGGGCCACUGUGACCUUUCAUUGCUUCACUUACGAAUAUUCACUUCAUUUAAAGAGAUCUCCCUUAAGACUACAGACCACAUAAAAAAUGUCUUGCACAGCCUGCCUAGAGCCCCUUUCCAUGUGUAAUCAACACAUCAACUCUU